CAACUCGCCUGCAUGAAGUUGGAAUUGCUAGUAAUCGCGAAUCAGAAUGUCGCGGUGAAUACGUUCCCGGGCCCUUGUACACACCGCCCGUCACACCAUGAGAGUCGAUAACACCCGAAGCCUGUGAGCUAACCGCAAGGAGGCAGCAGUCGAAGGUGGGGUUNAUGAUUGGGGUGAAGUCGUAACAAGGUAAC
rnacentral:rRNA from 1 species